rnacentral:tRNA from 1 species
GCCCCGGUAGCUCAUCCGGUAGAGCGCAUGCCACGUACGCAGCAGCCCAGGUUCAAAUCCGGCCUGGGCC